rnacentral:rRNA from 1 species
UACGUAGGGGGCAAGCGUUGUCCGGAUUUAUUGGGCGUAAAGAGCGUGUAGGCGGCCUGAAAGGUCAGCUGUGAAAACUCGAGGCUCAACCUCGAGACGUCGGUUGAAACCAUCUGGCUAGAGUCCGGAAGAGGAGUGUGGAAUUCCCGGUGUAGCGGUGAAAUGCGCAGAUAUCGGGAAGAACACCUGUGGCGAAGGCGGCACUCUGGGACGGUACUGACGCUGAGACGCGAAAGCGUGGGGAGCGAACAGG